UACGAAGGGGGCUAGCGUUGCUCGGAAUCACUGGGCUUAAAGGGCGCGUAGGCGGGCCCGUCGGUCAGGGGUGAAAGCCCGCGGCUCAACCGCGGAAGUGCCCCUGAUACCGCGGGCCUCGAGGGGGGUAGGGGCGCGCGGAACUUCCGGUGGAGCGGUGAAAUGCGUAGAUAUCGGAAGGAACACCGGUGGCGAAGGCGGCCUUCUGGACGAUGACUGACGCUGAGACGCGAAAGCGUGGGGAGCAAACAGG
rnacentral:rRNA from 1 species